UUCUUAGAAGUACUUAAGUUUUUCAUGUCAAACUCCUUUGCUAAUAUGAUUGUCGAUUCAUUUAAGUUAUGUAAAUAAUUAGCAACAAUAUAUAUGAGUUAACUAAUAUCUAACUUUCCAAGGCUCCCCACAUUUUCCUCUAUUUAGUGUCUACAUAUAUACGAGUCAUGCUCAACAAAACCACUUUUCUAAGUAUGUUAUAAAC
rnacentral:lncRNA from 1 species